GAAGCGAGUGCAGCCGGCGUCCGUGUACUCCUCGCACCUGCCGACCCCGGCAGGCCUGGGCCGAGAGGCAAGCCGACAGCGUUGACCCUCUAGCGCACAGAGCAAACACUGUGCUGAGGAAGACUGAAACUGAGCUCUGCAAGUGAGUGCUGUGCCCAGGGCAUUCAAGGUGAGCAUCAGUCAUGGCCAGUCAAGUGUGCUGUCUGAUCUUGAGAUAAAGGGUUGGAACUGAAGACAAAGCAAGAAAUAAUAAUAAUAGAAGAAGGGAAAGACCAAGAUGUCCUGGCAAAUCGGAGGCGCUCCCCAAGGUUGUGGAUUUGGAAUGCAUCCUCCAGCAGCGACCAGCGGCUCUAACAUCUGCUACUUCUGUGCUGCCGUAAGACAGCCCUUAACCUACUGCAUCCGAAAAGCAGAAUUGCCUUUUAACUUCUGGUAUUUCUCAGCAGUUGCUGCCGCUGGCAGUAUCAGCCGGAUGGUGGACUUUUGGUCAGCUGUGUGUCUUGGCAGGGGUUUGUCUGUCUGAAAGAAAUUCAAAGAAAAGGCAUGGCUUUUUUUUUAUAUACAGGAGAUCUUAUUAGCUGAGAUUUCAGGAAGACUUAAAUAACAGCUGGUAGGAACAGGGUGUGCAUUGCGGAGGAAGUGUGGCAGCUGUAAUAUGAGAAAAAGCCGUUAGAAAUCAUAAAAUGGAAUAAUGCCUGAUGAAAAGUUACGCACAUGGCUGUUUUAGCUAGUGGUCCAAUCCUAGGAAAUUGGAGCUACAGCAGAUAAUUAGGGGCUCCAGAACCCUCUCUCAGCCACAGCCAGCAGAGGGUUUUUGUCUAAUAGACUGCAGGAAGAGAGGCGGCAGACGACGGCAUGGGAACUGUUCCCAGCCCACUGGGUGCGAGGAGGGACAGGCGAG